rnacentral:rRNA from 1 species
AUGACGGCUCUAUGAGUUGUAAACUGCUUUUGUACAAGGGUAAACCCUGGGACGUGUCCCAGGCUGAAAGUACUGUACGAAUAAGGAUCGGCUAACUCCGUGCCAGCAGCCGCGGUAAUACGGAGGAUCCAAGCGUUAUCCGGAUUUAUUGGGUUUAAAGGGUGCGUAGGCGGAUUAGUAAGUUAGAGGUGAAAGCUCGGGGCUCAACUCCGGAACUGCCUCUGAUACUGCUGAUCUAGAGAGUAGAUGCGGUAGGCGGAAUGUAUGGUGUAGCGGUGAAAUGCUUAGAGAUCAUACAGAACACCGAUUGCGAAGGCAGCUUACCAAACUAUAUCUGACGUUGAGGCACGAAAGCGUGGGGAGCAAACAGGAUUAGAUACCCUGGUAGUCCACGCAGUAAACGAUGAUAGCUCGUUGUCGGCGAUACACAGUCGGUGACUUAGAGAAAUCGAUAAGCUAUCCACCUGGGGAGUACGUUCGCAAGAAUGAAACUCAAAGGGAUUGACGGGGGCCCGCACAAGCGGAGGAACAUGUGGUUUAAUUCG